UACGUAGGGGGCAAGCGUUGUCCGGAUUUAUUGGGCGUAAAGCGCUCGCAGGUGGUUCAUUGCGUCGUGCGUGAAAGACCCCGGCUCAACUGGGGAGGGUCGUGCGAAACGGGUGAACUAGAGGCCAGUAGGGGGAUGUGGAAUUCCGGGUGUAGUGGUGGAAUGCGUAGAGAUCCGGAGGAACACCAGCGGCGAAGGCGGCAUCCUGGACUGGUCCUGACACUCAUGAGCGAAAGCGUGGGGAGCGAGUCCGG
rnacentral:rRNA from 1 species